rnacentral:rRNA from 1 species
CCUACGGGCGGCUGCAGUGGGGAAUAUUGCACAAUGGGCGCAAGCCUGAUGCAGCCAUGCCGCGUGUAUGAAGAAGGCCUUCGGGUUGUAAAGUACUUUCAGCGGGGAGGAAGGCGAUAAGGUUAAUAACCUUGUCGAUUGACGUUACCCGCAGAAGAAGCACCGGCUAACUCCGUGCCAGCAGCCGCGGUAAUACGGAGGGUGCAAGCGUUAAUCGGAAUUACUGGGCGUAAAGCGCACGCAGGCGGUCUGUCAAGUCGGAUGUGAAAUCCCCGGGCUCAACCUGGGAACUGCAUUCGAAACUGGCAGGCUGGAGUCUUGUAGAGGGGGGUAGAAUUCCAGGUGUAGCGGUGAAAUGCGUAGAGAUCUGGAGGAAUACCGGUGGCGAAGGCGGCCCCCUGGACAAAGACUGACGCUCAGGUGCGAAAGCGUGGGGAGCAAACAGGAUUAGAUACCCCAGUAGUC